rnacentral:tRNA from 1 species
GGGCGAUUAGCUCAGUGGUAGAGCGACUCUUUGACGUAGAGUAGGCCGAAGGUUCGAUCCCUUCAUCGCCCACCA